rnacentral:rRNA from 1 species
AAGUUGUACAAGGGAACCGUAGGGUUUGAUCGGGGGCCGGAGAAUUUGAACAUGGUUUAGGAAAGUUGGGACCAUGGAAACCUAAAUUUGCUACGGAACAACAGUUGGAAACGACUGCUAAUACCGUAUGUGCCCUAACGGGGAAAGAUUUAUCGGCAAAUGAUGAGCCCGCGUUGGAUUAGCUAGUUGGUGGGGUAAAGGCCUACCAAGGCGACGAUCCAUAGCUGGUCUGAGAGGAUGAUCAGCCACACUGGGACUGAGACACGGCCCAGACUCCUACGGGAGGCAGCAGUGGGGAAUAUUGGACAAUGGGCGCAAGCCUGAUCCAGCCAUGCCGCGUGAGUGAUGAAGGCCCUAGGGUUGUAAAGCUCUUUCACCGGUGAAGAUAAUGACGGUAACCGGAGAAGAAGCCCCGGCUAACUUCGUGCCAGCAGCCGCGGUAAUACGAAGGGGGCUAGCGUUGUUCGGAUUUACUGGGCGUAAAGCGCACGUAGGCGGACUUUUAAGUCAGGGGUGAAAUCCCGGGGCUCAACCCCGGAACUGCCUUUGAUACUGGAAGUCUUGAGUAUGGAAGAGGUGAGUGGAAUUCCGAGUGUAGAGGUGAAAUUCGUAGAUAUUCGGAGGAACA